GGGGGUGGGGUGGGGGUAGCGGGCAAAGAUGACGAGGUGCUUCUUUACUUUCUGAAAAAGAAGUAACUAAAGGGAAUCUGGUAAGAGAUGCUUUCUUUAGCCAAAGUCUAUCGAAAUAUCCUCUCAAUCUUCUUAUACUAUUCUUGCUAGACCUCCUACUGUGAUUAUUAUUUAGUUGUUUACAUUAAAGGGAGCCACUUUUUCCUGCAGAGUGAAGGACACAUUCUUUCGUCUAAGAUAAAAUAAAAUAUAGUCUCUUUAUUCAUAGUGGAUUAUUCUCUUUAUAUGAAGUUCAAAAAGUGAGAAAUAUUUGUUUAGACCAAAAAUCAUUAUCCUUACAACUUAUGAUAAGAUCAAGAUAUACCCCAAAUUAAAUUAAAUCGAAAAAUCAAAUAAAUUAAUCAUCUUAAAAUCUAUUUGUAAUUUGGUUUGGUACUCUUUGGUGUAAAUUUUAAAAAAGAAACUUUUACCUAAUUUGAUACUAAGCUAGAAACGGAUGAACCGAAAUCGAACUAAAUUUACAAGUCUCUGCCACUUCAUAAAUUUUAAUUUAUAUAUAAAAAAUCUAUAUUUAUAGAAAAUUUCAAAUAAAUGGCUCAUCUUAUGUGGGUUGCAAUCUAAUGGUAAUUAGACAUAUUCUUGAUCGUUGUUCUACUUUUCUUCUUUUGAAAAUAUAUCUAGCCGUGGCUUAAUGUAGGUCAAAACAUACUCGUACUCAUUAUUUAUACUGAAUCAAUAAAUACAAGAAACAUGUCUUCACAUCUUAUUACUAAAUUAUAAUUAAUUAACACAUACAGUCUCACCUUAAUGUAUAACUUAAUCAUGAUAAUUAAGUAUUAUUAGGCUCUUGGCGCAGCAUUUUGUAAUAGAUGUUUGAAGGAAUCACAUGAAUCUGCAUCUUCAUUUAGUAUAGUGAUGGUAGGCUAGAAAUAUGGGUUUUUGGCUAGGUUGCACAUGUUAUUUACUAUACUUUAGUUGUGGUUGAGCUUAAAUGUGAAGUGUUUAUACUCAUUACGUGAUUUUUAUGUGUAGGGUGUAAUUCCGAGCUAUGACACAUUUUUGGAAUUAAAACGGAUAAUUUGGAGCUUUGAAGUGUAAGUAGAAGCCCAAAAAAUUAACCAGGAUCGUUUCUGGAGUUCGAAGAUCAACUCUGGAUAUUAAAAUUGAAGAAAAUUGAUAGCACAAAGAAUUGUACUAAUGAGCCUCAUGGUUGCCGCGACUGUGCAAAUGUUGUUGUUUUUGACAAAAUACAAGGUCUUUGAUAAAGUGAACUAGCGCGGCGCAUGGCGGCGGACCUGUAAAACUUUCGGCCCAACUUUUCCUACUUCGCUUUGGAGAGGGUAGUUUUAUCUGGACCCGUUUCUACAGGGUAUAAUAACACUAAAAAUACGAUUUUGAGGGGACUUUUGACCUAUAGAGGAUUGAGAGAGCAUUGGAGGCUUCAAGAC
rnacentral:lncRNA from 1 species